AAGCCAUUUUAAAAGUGGCAGGAUUCAAGGUCAAAGACAUUUUUAAAGUGACAUCGUCCUGUUUGAUCAGCACCAGCUGACCUUGGGCUAACCUGCUAGGAGAGAUCCAGUGGUGCCCCUUUUGUUCAAGUACAGCUAUCACUGCAUGUGGUACAAAAACUGUGAUAAGGCUGCCCCAAGGUUAAUUUCUGGGCUUCUUUAACUAACAGCACCACUGCAACCACAGCUCUCAAACAUGCAGGCCAUCCUUUGCUUACUUCGUCUCGCUGCUUGGAGAAGUAAGCUACCAGUCUUUUCCAGUCUCCCAGAGUUUGAGUCAGGACUCCCAAUGCUACAUGUUGCCUCUCAUGCACAUAUAACGUAAAGGGUUUGCUUAAGUCUGGCAGACCCAGAGCAGGGGCUCUCAUUAGUUCAGGUUUAAUGGACUCGAAUCCUUUCCGGCACUCUGGUGUCCAUUCCAAAGUUUCUCCAGGCCCCUUCAUAGCCACGUAUAAUGGUUUGGCAAUCGGGCUGAAAUUUGGUAUCCAGAGUCUACAGCAUUCCAGCCGUUACCAAGAACCCUUGUCGUUCUCUCUUAGACCGGGGCGGGGGAGCUAUUUGACAAAUAGCUGCUUUUCUUUCUGCGCUUAGUUCCCUCUUUCCCUGAGAUAGCUCAAAUCCCAAGUAAGUUACAGUGGUCUGUAUUAUUUGAGCCUUUUUCUGAGAUACUCGAUAUCCAGCCAUUCCCAAGAAAUUUCAGCAACUCUGUAGUUGCAAUUUUACAUUCUUGUUCAGUCUUUGCCCCAAGUAGGGAGUCAUCUACAUGCUGUAGGAAAGUAAUGGAAAGAUUCUUACCUUGCCAAUUUUCCAGUUCCUUGGCAAGUACGUUACCAAACAGUGUCGGGCUAUUCUUGAAUCCUGGUGGCAGCACGGUCCAGCAGAGUUGUAUUUUCCUCCCUGUGGUAGGACUCUCCCACUCAAAGGCGAGUAUCUUCUGGCUUUCUUCUUCCAAGGGGAUGCAAAAGAAAGCAUCUUUUGGAUCUAACACUGUAAAAUACACACUAU